rnacentral:misc_RNA from 1 species
AAAAAAAGGAAAGAAAUAGGUGAAAUAGAAGUUCUUCACUACAGACAAAUCAUGAUCUAUAUCAGCUAACAAUUAAGCAUUUUGCAAAUGGCAGGUGCAAUAUAAGCUGUUUGAGCAGGAUGCGACUAUCCCCACAAAAGAUGGGAAAAAGAGUCUAAGAGUGGAGUGGGAUGUAGAAGCAAUGCAGCCAUUAACAAUAUCCAUAAUAACCCAUAAGCCUAUCAUUAGGUAUCUCCACGUUACCUGCUUAUAUUCCUAACAAUAAUAUGGUGCCUCAAUUACAAAAUUACCUGGCAAAGAAGAGAGUUUGUGGAGGAUGGCAAUGAAGAAGGCCCCGCUGUUCUGAUCAUGAGGCACUAUCCUCAUGCAACGUUCUAAAGGGAGAUCGGAAACUUCCUCAUUCAAGUCCUCCGUUGAAGUCAUAGGAUCCGCCAUCGGCUAUCUUCAGAAUUCACAUUAGCACCAUAUUCUUGCUUAUAAUCCCCAUCUGCUGGGGCAACACAGCUUGUUCCAGAAGGAAACAUGCUGGGAAGAAUCCCAAAUCCACAGAAUUUGGAGACAUCUUUGUAGGAUGAUAACCAAAUACCCUUAUCACGUAACUUCCAUUUUCUUAGACCUGGCCGAUGAACAAGUUGAGGAAGCUCACUAGAGACAUCAACUAGCUCAACAGAC